rnacentral:rRNA from 1 species
UUUUCGCAAUGCCCGAAAGGGUGACGAAGCGACGCCGCGUGGGUGAGGAAGGCCCUCGGGUUGUAAAGCCCUGUCAGGAGUUAAGAAAUAUAGGUGCGCUAAUACCGCAUUUAUUUGACGAAGGCUCCAAAGGAAGCCACGGCUAACUCUGUGCCAGCAGCCGCGGUAAUACAGAGGUGGCAAGCGUUGUUCGGAAUUAUUGGGCGUAAAGAGCACGUAGGUGGGUUUGUAAGUCAGAUGUGAAAGCCUUCUGUUCAACGGAAGAAUUGCAUCUGAAACUACAAGUCUUGGGUGUAGGAGGGGAGAAUGGAACUUCUGGUGGAGCGGUGAAAUGCGUAGAUAUCAGAAGGAACGCCGGCGGCGAAAGCGAUUCUCUGGCCUAUUACUGACACUCAGUGUGCGAAAGCUAGGGGAGCAAACGGGAUUAGAUACCCCGGUAGUCCUAGCCGUAAACGAUGGGCACUAAGUAGAGGGGUUUUA